rnacentral:rRNA from 1 species
GAGUUUGAUCCUGGCUCAGAACGAACGCUGGCGGCAGGCUUAACACAUGCAUCGAGCGCCCCGCAAGGAAGGAGCGGCAGACGGGUGAGUAACGCGUGGGAAUCUACCUUUUGCUACGGAACAACAGUUGGAAACGACUGCUAAUACCGUAUGUGCCCUUCGGGGGAAAGAUUUAUCGGCUUAAAAAGGAUGAGCCCGCGUCGUGGAUUAUGGUGAGGUAAAGGCCCUCACCAAGGCGACGAUCCAUAGCUGGUCUGAGAGGAUGAUCAGCCACACUGGGUGAGACACGGCCCAGACUCCUACGGGAGGCAGCAGUGGGGAAUAUUGGACAAUGGGCGCAAGCCUGAUCCAGCCAUGCCGCGUGAGUGAUGAAGGCCCUAGGGUUGUAAAGCUCUUUCACCGGUGAAGAUAAUGACGGUAACCGGAGAAGAAGCCCCGGCUAACUUCGUGCCAGCAGCCGCGGUAAUACGACAAGGGGGCUAGCGUUGUUGAUUUACUGGGCGUAAAGCGCACGUAGGCGGAUUUUUAAGUCAGUAGUGGGUGAAAUCCCGGGGCUCAACGAACUGCCUUUGAUACUGGAAGUCUUGAGUAUGGUAGAGGUGAGUGGAAUUCCGAGUGUAGAGGUGAAAUUCGUAGAUAUUCGGAGGAACACCAGUGCGGCGAAGGGC